rnacentral:ncRNA from 1 species
AGUUUUAUUCUUGCUUAGAAAUUUAUUAGUUUGGAUGAUUUACAUGUAAAUUUUUGUGAUAGUUUAUUUUUCUUAAGGGUGAAUAAGUUAUUGGGAAUGCAGUAUUUUAUUUUAGUUAUCAUGGAAAUUUGGAAUUAGUAAUUUAAAUAUGAUUGGUAAAAGUCGUGCCAGCUACCGCGGUUAUACGUAGGAUAAAAGUAAAUUAUAUUAGUUAAGAGUUAAUUUUAUUAUUAAUAAAGUAAUUAUUUGUUUAGUAGGUUGAAUUAUUAAACUUUUUGUAUUUUAAAUUAAUUUAGAUGAGGCUUUGAAGAUUAUUUAUUAAACUAGGAUUAGAUACCCUAUUAUUAUAAUUGUAAAAGGGAAUACUUGGGUAGUAGUAGUUGUGUUCUUGAAACCCAAAGAAUUUGGCGGUGUUUCAGUCUGUCCAGAGGAAUCUGUCCUAUAAUUGAUGAUACACAUUAUAUUAAACUUAAUUUUGUAAGUUCAGUUUGUAUACCGCCGUUAUCAGAUUAUCUUUUUAGGGUAAUUUUCUUUAUAUUAUAAGAUAAUAUUUCAGGUCAAGGUGCAGCUUAUAGUUAAGGAUGAGAUGGAUUACAAUAAAUUUAUUUAAAUGGAUUUUUUGUUGAAAAGUGAAGAUGAAGGUGGAUUUGGAGGUAAAUUUAUUAAAUUAUGAUAAAUUGAUUAGAGCUCUGAAACAUGUACACAUCGCCCGUCACUCUCAUAUAAAGUGAGAUAAGUCGUAACAGAGUAGUCGUACUGGAAAGUGUGGCUAGAAUG